CUCACCAAAAAAAUUACGCUGUUAUCCCUAAGGUAAUUUAAUCUUUCAAUCAAAAAAAAUGGAUCAAAUAAUCAUAAAUAAAAGUACUAAUAAAUUAAAAGUUAUAUAAAUUUUAAAAUCACCCCAACAAAAUACUACUAAAAAUUCUAAUUAAUAAAUUCUUAAAAACUAAAAAAUAAAUAAUAUAAAACUCUAUAGGGUCUUCUCGUCCCAUAAAAACAUUUGAGCUUUUUAACUCAAUAAUAAAAUUCUUAUAAAAUUAAAUAAACAAAGCUAUUUUCUCAUUAAACCAUUCAUACAAGUCUUCAAUUAAAAAACUAAUGAUUAUGCUACCUUUGUACAGUCAAAAUACCGCAGCUAUUUACGUUAAUCAUUGAGCAGGUAAAACCUUAAAUAAUUUCCUAAAGGCCAUGUUUUUGUUAAACAGGCGA
rnacentral:rRNA from 1 species